AGCCAUGUGGUGAGUACAAAGCUAACUAUUUUUUCGACUUUUACUAAAUAAUACCAUGGGCUCUCUACGCUAAGUGGCAUACGCCUAGAGGUUUCCAUUUUUGAGUGGACCCAACAACAUUUAGUUGA
rnacentral:snRNA from 1 species